CACGUAGGCGGAUUGUUAAGUCAGAGGUGAAAUCCCGGAGCUCAACUUCGGAACUGCCUUUGAUACUGGCAAUCUCGAGUCCGGAAGAGGUUAGUGGAAUUCCCAGUGUAGAGGUGAAAUUCGUAGAUAUUGGGAAGAACACCAGUGGCGAAGGCGGCUAACUGGUCCGGUACUGACGCUGAGGUGCGAAAGCGUGGGGAGCAAACA
rnacentral:rRNA from 1 species